GGGCCCAUAGCUUAGCCUGGUGGAGCACCCGACUGAUAAUCGGGAGGCCGUCGGUUCAAAUCCGACUGGGCCCA
rnacentral:tRNA from 1 species